UACAGAGGUCCCGAGCGUUGUUUGGAUUCAUUGGGCGUAAAGGGUGCGUAGGUGGGCAAGUAAGUCAGUGGUGAAAUCUCCGGGCUUAACCCGGAAACUGCCAUUGAUACUAUUUGUCUUGAAUACUGUGGAGGUCAGCGGAAUAUGUCAUGUAGCGGUGAAAUGCUUAGAUAUGACAUAGAACACCAAUUGCGAAGGCAGCUGGCUACACAAAUAUUGACACUGAGGCACGAAAGCGUGGGGAUCAAACAGG
rnacentral:rRNA from 1 species